GUCAGGGGUCGUUCAGAGCCACGUGGAGUUUGUUACGGAGAGUAGAGUGGUGUCCGUUGUCGUGACUUGUCAGAGAGUAGUGGAGCCAUGCAGAAUCUGUUGCAGAGAGUGGAGCAGGGUAGUGGCCAUUGUCGUGACUUGCCAAAGAGUUCGGAUCUGUCGGUUGGAGCUCGGUUGGAACAUCUGAUGGAGCGGGAUGGCUCUCUAUCCC
rnacentral:lncRNA from 1 species